rnacentral:sRNA from 1 species
CGAUAUCUUCACUGUCAAAAUUCAAAGUUAUCUCU